UGGAUAACCUACCUAUAAGACUGGGAUAACUUCGGGAAACCGGAGCUAAUACCGGAUAAUAUUUUGAACCGCAUGGUUCAAAAGUGAAAGACGGUCUUGCUGUCACUUAUAGAUGGAUCCGCGCUGCAUUAGCUAGUUGGUAAGGUAACGGCUUACCAAGGCAACGAUGCAUAGCCGACCUGAGAGGGUGAUCGGCCACACUGGAACUGAGACACGGUCCAGACUCCUACGGGAGGCAGCAGUAGGGAAUCUUCCGCAAUGGGCGAAAGCCUGACGGAGCAACGCCGCGUGAGUGAUGAAGGUCUUCGGAUCGUAAAACUCUGUUAUUAGGGAAGAACAUAUGUGUAAGUAACUGUGCACAUCUUGACGGUACCUAAUCAGAAAGCCACGGCUAACUACGUGCCAGCAGCCGCGGUAAUACGUAGGUGGCAAGCGUUAUCCGGAAUUAUUGGGCGUAAAGCGCGCGUAGGCGGUUUUUUAAGUCUGAUGUGAAAGCCCACGGCUCAACCGUGGAGGGUCAUUGGAAACUGGAAAACUUGAGUGCAGAAGAGGAAAGUGGAAUUCCAUGUGUAGCGGUGAAAUGCGCAGAGAUAUGGAGG
rnacentral:rRNA from 1 species